AUGGAGGGCGCUCGCCGUGAGGAUGGACGGCGCGGAGAGGCGCGCUCGCGCCCGAGCUCCUGUGCCCAUGCCUCGCGCCUCCUUGCACCGCUCCGGCAGCCCCUCGCCAUCCGCCGUCGUGGGCGACCACCAGCAGCGCCCGUCACGCCUCUCCGCGCGCCACUCGGAGGCCCCAGCCAGGCCGCGCAGCCGUCCUCCUCCUCGACCUCGCCUCUCCGUGCGCCAACCGGCGCCGCCGCCGGCGGCCACGGGUCCAGCGCCGCCUUCGUCCUCCACCUUCUCCUAAAGCGCGCGUCCGCCGCGGGCGCUGGCGGUGGCGCGGCGGUCCUUGCCCUCGAUCUCACCGAGGAAGGCGUCCUUGCCGAGCAGCUCGACGAGAGCGCUGCCAAUGUCGCUGAACUGAAUCGCCAGCCAUCUCAGCCCACGUCUUUCAGCACGCAACCGGCGAACCCAUUCAGCAGCUCCUGGGCAAACAGCUUUGACCCCUGUUAA
rnacentral:rRNA from 1 species